rnacentral:lncRNA from 1 species
AUGGUGCCUCCCUCGCCGCCAAGUGGGUGGGAUUUUCAUAAUGAGAUCAAGAAUCAAUGUCGUCUUCUCCAUGGUACUCCGGUUCAUUCCUCCUCUUUUUAUUGUUCUCGUCCUUUCAAAUUGGUGGUGGAUGUCUCUCAUUCCACCUUUCGUCUUGAGGAGUCCUCUGUUGCCCUUGCUCUUCGAGCUUGUUUGGGUGGCUCUCCUGCUGGUUUUCUUGUUAAACAUCUGAAUGAUCGGUGUUACACUUUUUGUGUUUGUAAUAAGUCUGUUGGUUUGUGGAUUUACAACCUUCGCUCCUAUAUUUGCCAUGAUUAUCAUAUGAGAUUCUUCUUAUGGCGCGAUGGUGGUCCUAAUUGGGGGUUUGAGUUUCGUCGGUGGGAAUCUGAGCAGCUUAAUGAAUGGACUGUUGUUAAGAAGAAGAAAUCUAAAUCUUCUGUUGUUGCUUCCUCUUCAGUUCCUAUCUCUAGGGUUUUCAAUCGCCUCCAUGUUCUUGAUCCCCCUUGCCCUUCUCCGGUGGCCGCCGGCGAGAAGGUGUCAGUCAGUGCUCCAGAUCCGAUUUCUCAUAAACCGGUUUCUAGACCUAAAGUUCCGGUGGCCGAUGGCAAUGCUCCUAAUGCGAUUUCUAAGUCUUUCUUCAAUUUCAAUUCUGGGCCUAAAGCUGCUCGUGUUUUAGGCCUAUCCUCAAAAUCUUCGGUCCUGUCAAACGGACUUCCCAUAGGGUUCGGAAAGUCUAGGUUAAAAAAUCAACUGUCAAGCCUUAGUCUCUCCGUUUUCCACUCUCAGUUGUUGCGAAGAAACCCUCUCCUCAGGAGAGUUCUCUACCUCCCAUGGCGAAUCUUCACCCUAAUCCACUCUGUUUCAUCCCUCCUGGUCUGCAUUUGCAUCUGGCCAGGCCUUAUCAUCGCGGGCGUGUUGAUACGAGAUGGGGAGUUUCUUGAUCAGGUCAGGAACAUUCGUGUGCUUGCUUCCUAUCCACAUCCAAAUGUUGUUGCUUUAUUCCAGAUUAGAUCACCUGUUCAUCGGGAUGCCUUAGUUCUUGGUCAGCCGAUUGCUUAUGAUGAGGUUCGUUUUGUUAGACAUGAUCAAGGUCCGAACUGGCGUAACGCCCCCUAUAAUCAUCGUGAUUGGAUCAUGUUGCUUGAUUUCCCUCUUGACUAUGUCACUUUCCAUAAUUUUGGUAAUGUGCAAAAUGUUAAUCAGGAUCAGAAUCAGGGUUGGGGUAAUUCAACUAACUCUGUCAUCAGUAUCUCCAGUGAUGAAGCUAUUGAGCAUGUGUCUGACAAUAGCCUGAUGGUUCAGAAG